rnacentral:rRNA from 1 species
GGAGGUAAAUUUCUCCUAAGGCUAAAUAUUGGCCAGAGACCGAUAGCGCACAAGUAGAGUGAUCGAAAGAUGAAAAGCACUUUGGAAAGAGAGUUAAAAAGCACGUGAGAUUGUUAAAAGGGAAGGGAUUGCAACCAGACUUGCUCGCGGUGUUCCGCCGGUCUUCUGACCGGUCUACUCGCCGCGUUGCAGGCCAGCAUCGUCUGGUGCCGCUGGAUAAGACUGGAGGAAUGUAGCUUCGAU